rnacentral:rRNA from 1 species
GCUAACCUACGGGGCGCAGCAGUGAGGAAUAUUGGUCAAUGGGCGAGAGCCUGAACCAGCCAAGUCGCGUGAGGGAGGACGGCCCUACGGGUUGUAAACCUCUUUUGCCGGGGGACAAACGGCGGCACGCGUGUCGUCCUGAGGGUACCCGGAGAAUAAGCAUCGGCUAACUCCGUGCCAGCAGCCGCGGUAAUACGGAGGAUGCGAGCGUUAUCCGGAUUUAUUGGGUUUAAAGGGUGCGUAGGCGGUUUUUUAAGUUAGUGGUUAAACGUCGGGGCUUCACCUUGAUUUGCCAU